rnacentral:misc_RNA from 1 species
UUUGUUUUUUAAUUAAAAACUAGAAUGAAAGGUUAUACAUUUAAAUUUCUUUAUUAAUUUCUUAUAUAUAAUUUAUAUUAAAUAUAAAAAUAUAUUUUUUAAAUAAAAUAGACGAUAAGACCCUAUUAAAUUUUACUUAUAGUUUAACUGGGGAAGUUUUAAAAAUAAAAUUUUUUAUAAAAAUAAAAAUAAAUCUAAUAAAAUUAAAAUUAAAUUAAAUUACUAUAGGGAUAACAGCAUUAUAUUUUUUAAAAGUUCAUAUUAAAAAAAAUGAUUGUGACCUCGAUGUUGAAUUAUAUUUUCUUUAUUAAUGCAAUAAUUAUAAAAGUAGAUCUGUUCGAUCUUUAAAAUAUUACAUGAUUUGAGUUCAAACCGGUGUAAACCAGGUUGGUUUCUAUCUUUUUAUAAAUUCAUAUAUAUAUAUAUAUAUAUAUAUAUACAUAAAUUUUUCAAGUACGAAAGGAAAAAAAAAUUUUUAUUUUAAUUAAUUAGCAAUUAAUAUGCAUUAGAUUUAGAAUCUAAAUAAACUAUUAUU